UACGUAGGGUGCGAGCGUUUAAUCGGAAUUACUGGGCGUAAAGCGUGCGCAGGCGGUUCGUUGUGUCGGCGGUGAAAGCCCCGGGCUCAACCUGGGAAUGGCCGUUGAAACUGGCGAACUGGAGUGUGGCAGAGGGGGGUGGAAUUCCGCGUGUAGCAGUGAAAUGCGUAGAGAUGCGGAGGAACACCGAUGGCGAAGGCAGCCCCCCUGGGCUGACACUGACGCUCAGGCACGAAAGCGUGGGGAGCAAACAGG
rnacentral:rRNA from 1 species